rnacentral:lncRNA from 1 species
GUGCAAUAACUGAUUAGCUGGGUUAUCUUAUUGUUGUGAUUAGCUGGGUUAUCUUGUUAUUAGCUGGGAAUUUAUAUAAAAACUGCCUGUUAUUUUUUUUUGUUUUAUUGCUCUCUUUAUAUUUCAUAUUGUUAGCUCUCUUUAUAUUACUUAUGGUGCAAUAAUGGAUGAUUAGUUGUUAUGUGAGAGUUAUUAUGCUUAUUGGUUGGCCUUUGUGUUGUUUAUAGGCUAAGUUUUUGUGGCAAUGUUGCUUAUAGUUAGCUUUCUGUUUUUGGGCUUGUCUCUUCUGUAUCAUUGCCUCUUUAGCUGCUGUGUUUAA